rnacentral:rRNA from 1 species
UACGUAGGGUCCGAGCGUUGUCCGGAAUUACUGGGCGUAAAGAGCUCGUAGGUGGUUUGUCGCGUUGUUCGUGAAAACUCACAGCUCAACUGUGGGCGUGCGGGCGAUACGGGCAGACUGGAGUACUGCAGGGGAGACUGGAAUUCCUGGUGUAGCGGUGGAAUGCGCAGAUAUCAGGAGGAACACCGGUGGCGAAGGCGGGUCUCUGGGCCGAUACUGACGCUGAGGCACGAAAGCGUGGGGAGCAAACAGG